rnacentral:rRNA from 1 species
AUUGAACGCUGGCGGCAGGCCUAACACAUGCAAGUCGAACGGUAACAGGAAGAAGCUUGCUUCUUUGCUGGCGAGUGGCGGACGGGUGAGUAAUGUCUGGGAAACUGCCUGAUGGAGGGGGAUAACUACUGGAAACGGUAGCUAAUACCGCAUAACGUCGCAAGACCAAAAAGGGGGACCUUCGGGCCUCUUGCCAUCGGAUGUGCCCAGAUGGGAUUAGCUAGUAGGUGGGGUAACGGCUCACCUAGGCGACGAUCCCUAGCUGGUCUGAGAGGAUGACCAGCCACACUGGAACUGAGACACGGUCCAGACUCCUACGGGAGGCAGCAGUGGGGAAUAUUGCACAAUGGGCGCAAGCCUGAUGCAGCCAUGCCGCGUGUAUGAAGAAGGCCUUCGGGUUGUAAAGUACUUUCAGCGGGGAGGAAGGGAGUAAAGUUAAUACCUUUGCUCAUUGACGUUACCCGCAGAAGAAGCACCGGCUAACUCCGUG